rnacentral:rRNA from 1 species
AAAUGCGGCAGCUACCAUGCAGUCGAGCGGUAACAGGAAGCAUUUUGUUGCUUCUCUGACGAGUGGCGGAGGGGUGAGUAAUGUCUGGGAAACUGCCUGAUGGAGGGAGAUAACUACUGGAAACGGUAUCUAAUACCGCAUAACGUCGCAAGACCAAAGAGGGGGACCUUCGGGCCUCUUGCCAUCGGAUGUGCCCAUAUGGGAUUAUCUAGUGUGUGGGGUAACGGCUCACCUAGGACAAUAUCCCUAUCUGGUCAGAGAAGAUGACCACCCACUCUGGAACUGACACACUGUCCACACUCCUACGGGACGCCGCUGUGGGAAAUAUUGCACAGUGGGCGCACGCCUGAUGCCCCCGUGCCGCGUGUGUGAAGAGGGCCUUCGGGUUGUAAAGUUCUUUCCGCGGGGAGGAAGGCGAUGAGGUUAAUAACCUUGUCGAUUGACGUUACCCGCAAAAGAAGCCCCGGCUAACUCCGUGCCAGCACCCGCGGUAAUACAGAGGGUGCGCGCGUUACUCAGAAUUACUGGGCAUAAAGCACACGCGCGCGGUCUGUCAUGUCAGAUGUGAACUCCGCGGUCUCAACCGGGGAACUGCUUUCGACAGUGGCGCGCUAGACUCGUGUAGAGGGGGGUAGAAUUCCGUGUGUAGCUGAGAAAUGCAUAGAUAUCUGGAAGAAUACCUGUCGCAAACGCCGCCCCCUGGACAAACACUGACUCUCGUGUGAGAAAGCGUGGAGAGCAAACGAGAUUAUAUACCCUGGGUACUCCACCCCAUAAAAUAUCUCGACUUGGAUUUUGUGCCCGUGGCGCGUGUCUUCCAGAUCUCACGCUUUAACUCCACCGCCUGGAGAGUACGGCCACAGUGAUAACACACAUAUGAAUUGACGGGGCGCCCGCACGCGCUGUGGAGCAUGUGGUUUAUUCGAUGCAACGCGAAGACCUUCAUCUACUCUGACAUCAGAGAUCUUACAGAUAUGCUUUUGGUCGCCUCGAGACUGUGACACGAGGUGCUGCAGUGCUGUCUCACUCGUGUGGGAAUGUGGAGUUAGUCCCACACGAGCGCACUUUAUCUUUGUGCAGGUUCGGCCGGGAUCUCAAAGGAGAUGCCAGUACACUGGACACGGGGGAUAUGGAUUCUGCUCUUGAGGGGUUCACGGCACAUGGGGGGAG